AGGCAGCAGUGAGGAAUAUUGGUCAAUGGCCGGAAGGCUGAACCAGCCAAGCCGCGUGAAGGACGAAGGUGCCAAGCAUUGUAAACUUCUUUUGUCAAGGGACAAAAUCAGGCUCGAGAGCCUGACCGAGGGUACUUGAAGAAAAAGCAUCGGCUAACUCCGUGCC
rnacentral:rRNA from 1 species